ensembl:lncRNA
GGACUGCAGCACGUCAGGCUUACCUGUCCAUCAUCAACUCCCGAAGCUUGCUCAAACUCAUGUCCAUCGAGUUGGUGAUGCCAUCCAACCAUCUCAUCCUCUGUCAUCUCCUUCUCUUCCUGCCUUCAAUCUUUCCCAGCAUCAUGGUCUUUUCCAAUGAGUCAGUUCUUGCAUCAGGUGGCCAAAGUAUUCAGCUUCAGCAUCAGUCUUUCCAGUGAACAUUCAGGACUGAUUUCCUUUAGGAUGUACUUGAGAGUCCUUUAGGGACUCUCAAGAGUCUUCUCCAACAUCAGAGUUCAAAAGCAUCAAUUCUUCAGUGCUCAGCUUUCUUUAUAGUCCAACUCUCACAUCCAUACAUGAUUACUGCAAAAAACAUAGCUUUGACUAGACAGACCUUUGUCGGCAAAGUAAUGUCUCUGCUUUUUAAUACUACCCCUUCAUUUAACCUUGUUCUUGUACCAUCACAUAUUGAAGAGAAAUCAGUAUUACAGCAAAGCUUAGAUAGUUUAACUUAACAAGAAUUUGUACAAUUAUUUUUUAAAAAAACUUUGGCCUUUGGGGCAUUAUUUAAAUUGGACUGCUAUUUAAAAGCAUAAUUUCUGGGGCUGUUCAACUUUCUAAUUAACUUUAAAGUUAAUUCUGCUUUUGUAUAUAAAAAUGUUUCCCACUGUCAUUAGGAAAAUUACCAAGGAGUUUCUUAUCAUAUUUAUCUACAUGCUUGUCAGUUACCAAUCCCCCGAAGCAGCCCCUUUCCAUGGCCAUAGCAUUCAUAGUCCAGUUUGAUGAUCUCCCUGCCACAUUUACAUUUUUAGUAGGAAGCUCUUGAAAACCUGACCAUUGUCAAAAUCUGAGUACGGAGACUUCAGUCAGUGUGACAGAUGGUAGAAAGAAAUAUUUAUAUGGAGGCUGUGGGUGGGAGAGAAGACACUUCCCAACUGUUGCUAAUAAUUAAACUUGCAGUAGCUGCCGGUGGGCCACACAGGCACAAACCUGGCAAAGUCUCCAUCAGUCCUGAUGGGUUUUCCUUACAGCCAACAGCUGUAGGCCAUUAGUUACUCUUUGGGGCCCCAGGAUUCUUCUCGGAUGGCUCGGUCUCCCUCACAGCCUCCCCCAGGAAGGAGGCUUGGUUCUCCCAGGAGAAUUGCAGCUGAGAAGGACAGCACUAAGCUGGCUUUCAGAGAGGUGGGGCAGCAGAUUGAUGAGCCCCUCAGUGUAGACCCUGGUCGGCUCUGCCGGUGUUGGAAACACUGCCACCUGCUGGACCCUUUGAGAAUGUCAGCAGGCCCUGCCCUUCAAACCCAGUCGCAAACUUGACUGGUGCCAGCGUCAGCAACUCAGCCACCAGAGUCGGGGUGCACGGGACCCAAGACCUGUGGCUGCCAGUUGCUCGAGGGAGAGAUUAGUCGAGCCAGAAUAUUGGCCAGAAUAUAGACAUAAUUAGACAUAGUUUUUAACAUUUAAGAGAACUGUAUUAAAUUCCAGGACUUGCCUCUUGAAAUGAUCUCAUUCUAUGAUUAUGUUACCUCCAUUGGGCUUCCCUGGUGGCUUAGGCCAUGAAGAAUCUGACUCGGGUCUGAUCCCUAAAGAAGGAAAUGACUACCCACUCCAGUAUUCUUGCCUGGAGAAUUCCAUGGACAGAGGAGCCUGACAGGCUACAGUCCAUGGGAUCACAAAGAGUCGGACAAGACUGAGCGAUUAACUUUCACUUUCACUUUGUCAUUCGCUGAAGGAUUUGGGAACAGAAAGGUCAAGACCUCCUCUGUCCUCUGUAGAUCUUCAGGCCCUGAUUUGAAAUGAUGUGUGUGCUCAGCCCUAGACUUUCAAGGCAGCUUCAAGUGAGAUAUGUUCUGACCAGAUUCCAGCCUCCAGUCCCUGUUCCCAGCCCUUCACCAGAGCCGUCGGGUAAAUUUUCUAAUCCUCUCCGGGACAUUCCUAUUUCCUGCCGAGAAGUAAGAAAACAACAGUGCUUCCCUAAGGGCGGUAUGCCUCAGCCCUGCCUCGCAAUCUCCAUUUUAGGAAAAAUGUUUCCCCGAGCACGAAUCCUCUGAAAGGAAAAGGCCUGUGAGUCUCCUGGGAAAGAAUAUGAGACCCCACCGUGAGGAUUUGCCGUAGAAUUUCGCUGCAUUCCUCUGCGGGACUGGGCUGUCUAGGAAGUUCAUUUUGAUUUAAAAAUAUAUCAGAAUGGGAAUGUGUUUGUGUGAGUAGGCGUGUGAAACAGAUUUGAAAAAAAGACAGGCAAAAAUAAAGUGGGGAGAUAAGGAGAGAGGUCAAAGGCAAAUAGUUCUUUCCUUCUAAAAGGAUCUCUUCAGAGUGCUUGGAUUUUUUAUUAUGGAAAUACUCAAAACAUUCAAAACUAGAGAAAAUAGUCUAAUGAACCACUGGGUGCCCCUCAUCCCGCUUCAACAAUUAUCAACAUUGCCAACCUUUAUCACUUAUCUGCUCCUCUUCUUUUUUUGUACUAGAGCUGGGCCUGGCCAAAUCCAUGGCCAAAACCAACUUGCCUCUUGUUUUUCAGGGGAAAGAAAAAAAGGUUUACUGGAACACAGCCAUUCCCAAUGGUUUCUAUUGUCUAUACCUGUGUUCACAUCCCAGCAGCAGAGGUGAAUAGUUGUGACAGAAAUCGUGUGACCCACGUGCCUGAAAUAUUUCUUGUCUGGUCUUUCACAGAAAAUAUUUACACACGCACUCAGCCCUGUGCACAUGCAUGCCUGCUCAGUCAUGUCCUACCGUUUGCAGCCCCAUGCACUGAAGCCCACCAGGCUUCUCUGUCCAUGGGAUUCUCCAGGCAAGAACACCGGAGUGGGUGGGCAUGCCCUUCUCCAGGGGAUCUUUCCCACCCAGGGAUCAAACCCAGGUCCGUAGCACUGCAGGCAGAUUCUUUACUGUCUGAGCCGUCUCUUUUACUCACACUUAUUUGUUGAAGAAACCAGACUCUUUGUCCUACAAAAUCGCCACAUUUCGGAUAUAGUUGGGUAUAUGCUCAUUGCACCAUUUUACAUGACCACAAUGCAUUAUUUUUAAUUAGAGUAGGCCUUAAAAAAAAAAUGGAGUACAGUUGAAUUACAACGUUGUGUUAGUUUCAGGUAUACAGCAAAGUGUUUCACUUGCUGCUGCUGCUGCUGCUAAGUCGAUUCAGUCGUGUCCGACUCUGUGGGACCCCGUAGGCGGAAGCCCACCAGGCUCCCUCACCCCUGGGAUUCUCCAGGCAAGAAUACUGGAGUGGGUUGCCAUUUCCUUCUCCAAUGCAUGAAAGUGAAAAGUGAAAAGGAAGUCGCUCAGUCGUGUCCGACUCUUAGCAACCCCAUGGACUGCAGCCUACCAGGCUCCUCCAUCCAUGGGAUUUUCCAGGCAAGAGUACUGGAGUGGGGUGCCAUUGCCUUCUCCGGUGUUUCAGUUAUAUAUAUACAUAUACACACACACUUUUUCAAGAUAGUGAAUAUGGUUCCCUGGUCUAUAUAGUAAGUCUUAUUGUUUAUCUGCUUUGUAUUUAGUGGUGUGUAGUGUGUAUCUAUUAAUCCCAAUCUCCUAAUUUAUCCCUCCCUACCCUUUCCCCUUUGAUAGCCAUGUUUGUUUUCUAAGCCCGUGAGUCUAUUUUUGUUUCGUAAAUAAAUUCCUUUGCAUAAUUUUUUUAAGAUUCCACCUUGAAGUGAUAUUGUAUGAUAUUUGUCUUUCUCCAUCUGACUUACUUCAGUAUGUUAAUAGUAUGAUAAUAUCUACAUCCAUCCAUGUUGCUGCAAAUGGCAUGAUUUCAUUCUGUUUUUAUAACUGAGUAAUAU